CGUUGGAUGAAAUCAGGUGGUAUACUGUACAUUACGAACUCCAUUUACAAUCGCUCUCUGACCUCUGUAGUCUGUAUCUGUUUUUUGUUGUUUGGUGUAGCGUUGUUCGAGCUUUCUUCGCUAAGCAGUGAUAGUGAACCCCUCUCUCUCUCUCUCUCUCUCUCUCAUCAAGUUCCUGUGUAGCAAAUGGCAAUGAGGAAAUUCUACAGCGAGAUCAAGGGCCUGAAGGUGAAGGAGGUGCCUGAACAUGUGAAGCCGAUGCUUUCCACCAACUAUUUGAAGAAUGCAUUUCAGAGAUGGCUGGACAACUACCAUGCCAAGUACAUUCAAACCAGCUCCGUUGAGCCGCUCUUCCAUGUCUGCUAUGGUGGAAUGAUCUUUUCCUACCUGGUUGCACUCCCUGAGGAACGCCGCCACCUUAAGCACCAGGAGCAUGCCAAGGAGCAUGGAGGGCACUGAUGAUCAAUUUAUUGCAGGAGUACUGUGAUGUUUCGUUGCUUUUAUCAUUGGAUAUUAUUGACGAGGUUCCCCAGUCUUGGUUGGGAGACCAUUGAAAUGCUUAUCGUUCUUUGGUUUUGAUAUCUGGAAAUUGUUAACAGAGAAAUACUGUUCUUAAUUGCAUGGCAGCAUUAAGCACAAUAAGAUCCACAUGAAUGAUGUUUACAGUACUUUAUUAUUUUAGUUGGAUUGUUGAAAAAAAUGUGUAUCAGGGGAAUUAUGCUUUGUUACUUUAUUUGUUUUGAUUGCUGAGUCCUGUUGAUUAGAUGA